rnacentral:misc_RNA from 1 species
GUACUCUCAAGCUCUGCUUGGUGUUGAGUGUUUGUCCUCUCCCUAGUGUUUGGACUCGCCUUAAAAUAAUUGGCAGCCAGUGUUUUGGUAUUGAAGCGCAGCACAAGUCGCGAUUCUUAGCCAAUACUUGCGUCCACAAGCCUUUUUUCAAC